rnacentral:rRNA from 1 species
CAGUCGCCGCGGGAAUACGAAGGGGGCUAGCGUUGUUCGGAUUUACUGGGCGUAAAGGGCGCGUAGGCGGGCGAAUAAGUCAGGGGUGAAAUCCCAAGGCUCAACCUUGGAACUGCCUUUGAUACUGUUUGUCUUGAGUUCGAGAGAGGUAAGUGGAACUGCGAGUGUAGAGGUGAAAUUCGUAGAUAUUCGCAAGAACACCAGUGGCGAAGGCGGCUUACUGGCUCGAAACUGACGCUGAGGCACGAAAGCGUGGGGAUCAAACAGGAUUAGAUACCCCGGUAGUCCAUGUCUCUUAUAC